UCAAAUCAGGCAGGGAUACCCGCUGAACUUAAGCAUAUCAAUAAGCGGAGGAAAAGAAACCAACAGGGAUUGCCCUAGUAACGGCGAGUGAAGCGGCAACAGCUCAAAUUUGAAAUCUGGCUCUUAUUGAGUCCGAGUUGUAAUUUGCAGAGGGCGCUUUGGCGUUAGCAGCAGUCCAAGUUCUUUGGAACAGGACGUCAGAGAGGGUGAGAAUCCCGUAUGUGGUUGCUAGCUAUCGCCGUGUAAAGCCCCUUCGACGAGUCGAGUUGUUUGGGAAUGCAGCUCUAAAUGGGAGGUAAAUUUCUUCUAAAGCUAAAUACUGGCCAGAGACCGAUAGCGCACAAGUAGAGUGAUCGAAAGAUGAAAAGCACUUUGGAAAGAGAGUCAAAUAGCACGUGAAAUUGUUGAAAGGGAAGCGCUUGCAGCCAGACUUGCCUGUAGUUGGUUAUCUAGACUUUUGUCUAGUGCACUCUUCUGCGGGCAGGCCAGCAUCAAUCUAGGCGGUUGGAUAAAGGUCUCUGUCAUGUACCUCUCUUUGGGGAGGCCUUAUAGGGGAGACGUCAUGCAAUCAGCCUGGAUUGAGGUCCGCGCAUCUGCUAGGAUGCUGGCGUAAUGGCUGUAAGCGGCCCGUCUUGAAACACGGACCAAGGAGUCUAACAUCCAUGCGAGUGUUUGGGUGUCAAGCCC
rnacentral:rRNA from 1 species